UACGGGGGGGGCAAGCGUUGUUCGGAAUUACUGGGCGUAAAGGGCUCGUAGGCGGCCUACUAAGUCAGACGUGAAAUCCCCAGGCUCAACCUGGGAACUGCGUCUGAUACUGGAUGGCUUGAAUCCGGGAGAGGGAUGCAGAAUUCCAGGUGUAGCGGUGAAAUGCGUAGAUAUCUGGAGGAAUACCGGUGGCGAAGGCGGCAUCCUGGACCGGCAUUGACGCUGAGGAGCGAAAGCCAGGGGAGCAAACGGG
rnacentral:rRNA from 1 species